AGAGUUUGAUCAUGGCUCAGGAUGAACGUUGGCGGUGUGCCUAAUACAUGCAAGUCGAACGGAGUUAAUAGCAAUAUUGACUUAGUGGCGAACGGGUGAGUAACGCGUUGGUGAUCUGCCUCGAAGUGUGGAAUAACGUUCCGAAAGGAUCGCUAAUACCGCAUGUGCUCUCGAUUUUUAGAAGCUUGAGAGUAAAGGAUUUAUUCGCUUCGAGAGGAGCCUGCGUCCCAUCAGCUGGUUGGUAGGGUAACGGCCUACCAAGGCUAUGACGGGUAGGGGACCUGAGAGGGUGGCCCCCCACAAUGGAACUGAAACACGGUCCAUACACCUACGGGUGGCAGCAGUAGGGAAUAUUAGAAAUGGACGAAAGUCUGAUCUAGCAACACCGCGUGUGCGAAGAAGGCCUUCGGGUCGUAAAGCACUUUUUGGAAGGAAUAGGAAGGAAUGUACUUCCAGAAUAAGUCUCGGCUAACUACGUGCCAGCAGCCGCGGUAACACGUAGGAGGCAAACGUUAUCCGGAUUUACUGGGCGUAAAGCGCGUGUAGGUGGUACUGUAAGUAGGGCGUGAAAGCUCCCGGCUCAACUGGGAGAGGCCGUUCUAAACUGCAGAACUAGAGGAUGGUAGAGGGAGGUGGAAUUCCAGGUGUAGCGGUGGAAUGCGCAGAUAUCUGGAGGAACACCAGUGGCGAAGGCGGCCUCCUGGACCAUUCCUGACACUCAGACGCGAAAGCUAGGGUAGCAAACGGGAUUAGAGACCCCGGUAGUCCUAGCCCUAAACGAUGUAGACUAGGCGUCGGUGGUUUAAUCACCAUCGGUGUCCAAGCUAACGCGAUAAGUCUACCGCCUGGGGACUACGGCCGCAAGGUUAAAACUCAAAUGAAUUGACGG
rnacentral:rRNA from 1 species